CCGGGGUGAACGAUCCACUGGUGGACCAGUUGUCGACUACGGCAGUGCUGGGUAGCUAUGAUCGGACAGGAUAACCGCUGAAAGCAUCUAAGCGGGAAGCCCCCCUCAAAACAAGGUAUCCCUGAGGACCGAGGUAGACUACCUCGUCGAUAGGCCAGAGGUGUAAGCGUGGCAACGCGUUCAGCUGACUGGUACUAAUGGUCCGAUAGGCUUGAUUUG
rnacentral:rRNA from 1 species